AUGCAGCAUCAUGAACCCUUCCCCUAUGUGCUAUGGAAUUUUGCAAGGCCAUAUCUCAUGCAGGUAACCACAGUUUCUGUAGGUUCAUGGGUACAAUGGUCAGCAGCAUUGCUCGAGGCAUUGACUUUUCAUAUGGGCAUUGACUCUUGGAUCUGUAGAUAUCUAGUGGUAGUGGCAUCAGCUGGCGUUGUCACUGUGGAUGAAGGGAUAAAAGGCUCCUUCAUAUUCAUGACAGGUGAGUGCAAAGCCUUUAAAAAAUGCAUCACACAUGCACAGAAUGCGGUGAGAGGCGUUCUGAAGUAGAAGCAACCUGAGUGGCUGACAAUGCCCUAGCUGACUCUGAGGAGAGCCUCCCUUGGCCCGUGCUCCCUUGGUUUGGGGAGAAUGAGGCUUCAUUUAACACAGAAGCAGCUGUUUUCUCCUUUUGGGGGCUCUGGGGGUCAGAUUCCCCUAGCAUCUCAGCUCCCCCAGACAGAGAGUGUCUAGCAUCUCAGCUUUUCCAGACAGAGAGUGUAUACUUUGGGCACACAUGGAGGGAAAAUAACCUGAGUGGCUGAGGGAAAAUGACAUCCUUAUUCCUCUGGUUGUAGGAGUGGCAUCUCUUCACAUGGAGUUUGGAGAAAUAGCUGAAGUCCGCAUCCAAGGACCACCUUGGACCUGAAACACUGAGAACAGGGGUAGAUGGCCAGAGAUUGGAGAGAGUGGAGAGCUGCUCCUUCUCUUUCCUUCCUUCCCUUACUAUCCCUGGGCCCAUUUCCUUCUCUGAAAGGUGAAAAUUAAAACUUGGACUGUUAACAGGUGUGGAUGAGACAUGUGUAAAUGACCUCAGAGAGUUGCUUAGAAACAAAGCCCCAGUGGUAGCCUGACAAGGAAGAAAAGAGCCAAGGAGUCAGCAAGGACCUGGAAGUAGACACUGGUGCACAGUCUGACAGACAGACAGACAGACAGACAGACAGACAGACAGACACACUUUUACACCCACACCUGGGGAAUGUGGAGUAUUUUUUUACACUGGGUGAAUAUAUAUGUCACAUCACUGGGAUUGGCUUAAUAAAGAUGCUGACUGUCCGUUGGCUGAACA
rnacentral:lncRNA from 1 species